CCUACGGGAGGCAGCAGUGGGGAAUAUUGCUCAAUGGGGGAAACCCUGAUGCAGCGACGCCGCGUGAAGGAAGAAGGAUUUCGGUAUGUAAACUCCUAUUAGUCGGGAAGAAAAUGACGGUACCUGACGAAGAAGCCCCGGCUAACUACGUGCCAGCAGCCGCGGUAAUACGUAGGGGGCGAGCGUUAUGCGGAUUUACUGGGCGUAAAGGGAGCGUAGGCGGGUUAGUAAGUCAGAAGUGAAAGCCUGGAGCUCAACUACAGGACUGCUGUUGAAACUGUUGGACUAGAUUGCGGGAGAGGUAAGUGGAAUUCGUGGUGUAGCGGUGAAAUGCGUAGAUAUCAGGAGGAACACCAAUGGCGAAGGCGGCUUACUGGAAUAUGAAUGACGCUGAGGCACGAAAGCGUGGGGAGCAAACAGGAUUAGAUACCCCUGUAGUC
rnacentral:rRNA from 1 species